UUAUGGAAUUCGUAGUUUGGUUGGUAUAUUAACACUCCAUCUUAAUCUUUGCUGCUAUUACAAAGAAUGAGGAAAGCUAGAAAUAUCUAUAAAAAUAAAAUACCUUAAAACCGACAAGCAAAAUAUAAAAGUUGCAUACAAAUUGCCAAUAAAUAUAAACAUCACAAUAGAAAAAUUAAUCUUAACAAAAAUAAACUCAUAAUUGCUAUUAAGACAUUAUAAAAACAAAAAAGUUUAAUGUGCAUGUAUAUUUGCAAACAGACACAGUACACUCCAAACAAUAUAAUUUUACUAUCAUUAUUAUAUAAUGCAGCAUACAAGGUUACUGAGGUGUGGUAUUUUUUGUUGUUGUUGUUGUUUGCUUUUAGUCUUCUUUUCUGGAAGAAUGCUCACCAAAUUCACAGGAAAGAAGUGCCUAGGUGAUCAUUUACUGCUAUUUACUGCUUCCUGGUAUGGAGCAAAAUUGCCCUCUGGUAGGUAACUACAUUUCUAAUUAGUAUGAAAGGUUCUACUAUUUUCCUUUCUUUUGCUUAUUUCCCCUUAAGCACAAUUUGCAGACCCUACUUCUAUUUAACUGAUCAUACCCUUUUAAAUUUCCCUUUGGACAUUGGUACUAUACCCAUAAUCUUGUUAAAAAGUUAAGUAGGUUUGCUGUUUUAUGUGCAUUAUGGAUUUCCUCCAACACAGUUGGGAAUUAAAAGAGGUAAUUCUACUAAAUAUUUUGUUUUCAAAUUUACAAAAUAAAUUUGGUGAGCAUUUACCUAGAUACUUUACUGCAUAAAAGCUUUCCUUGGUUCCCUUGGACGAGAUUCAAGACAACAACUAACAUUAUUUUUAUGAAACUGUCACACUCUUGGAGUUCUAAAAUAAUUUAUCUUUAAAAUUCUUAGCUUCGUGCUACUUGAAAAAUAAAAAUCUACAGCACCAUCUUCUGAAAAGGCACUUUCUAAGAACCGCCUUGCUUUAAAAAAUGAUUAAAAAAUUUAACUCAAGAGUCUACGCCCUGACAAACGUCUUUGCUUUACUGAGACCCUAACAUAGAUACAUUAGAUUCUGGUUACCUUAGAAAUUAGUCUAAAAAAGGAAGGGACCCCGAUGGCUGGAUAGGUGAUUUGACAGGAUUCUAAUUUUGUCACACCAUUUACCUGAUACUUCAACAGGGUUUCUCACUGGUAAAUCUCAACCCUCUAUAUUGAAUUUACCAUCCUUCUAUCUUUAAUUCAAAUUAAAAUCUUUAACUUCCAUAUUUUAAGAACAAAAGAUUCUUGAGAUUUAAUCAAUGAUGUAAACAUCUGGAGUACUAGUUUUGAUGGGUAAAGUAAUAUAAAUUUCAAUGAGUAGUAGGUAAUAUUAGCACAAGCCUUGACCAUUAUACCUUAGUUUAAAAAAUUAUGUUGACUGACAUGGAAAAUUAUAAACUUAAAUGUACCAUUUUAAAAGUAGGAAAAAAGUCAAAAUAAUUUUUCCCUUUGUGUGUGUGUGUGAGAUUAUAUAUAUACACACUCAUACAUAUACACACACACACACUCCCCCUCCCUGCUUCCUGGGACUCAGCUUGGCUUUCACUAAUCACAGUGUCAUUUCUAACACUGCAACGGAUCAAGAAUGUUCUUAGUAUAAGCAGGACUUUUUUAAAAAGAUUUUUUGGAGAAAAUUCUCACUUUCUGAUUUCUGUGCUGACUGACUUACCUACUCUUGGCUGAUUUUUUGACUCCUAUAGAAUCACAAAAGUGCUUUUCUAUGAUCAAAUAUGAGGACUGAAAUAGGAAAACAAGAGUUCUAAAUUAGGGUUAUACUGCUACACAGGAAGGCGUUACUUGAUGUCAAACCUCCCAACAAUUCUUACUGAAGCUUUAAGACAUUUAUGAAUUCUCAAAAAGAAUGAAAAUAAUGAAUACUUCAUAUGGAUAAAGCCAAAAUAAAGACGCCACACUAAUGAUAUUUUUGCAGCUUGACUAACUAAUAAAAGGUAAUUUAAGUAGCAAGUUACUGUUAAGGGCAACCUGCCUGUUCAACAGAAGAACAUCUAAGAGGAUAAGCUAAGCAAACAUUUAACUCAGGUUUAAUGAUACUGAAUGAAAAUUUUGCAGAGUUGUCAGUUAAACUUCUUGGUAAAAAUAUUAAAAUCAAGUUUGAAAUAGGAAGACUGCAACAUAUUCUAGCUGUAUCGAAGUCGUUUGCUUCUUGAAUUUCAUAAAAAUCACUGCCCUUGGCAAAUUCAUGUAGGGCUCUAAACAGAUCCAUCAAGUUCCUUGAGUCACAAACGGUCUCUAAUUCCUGGUCUGCAAUCCAUCUAAAUACUUCGGAUCCAUCACUGGCAUGCUUAGCGCUCACCCUUUCCUUGAACACAGAGAUCCGCUGCCAGUCAUUCCUGCUGAAGGGCAAGUCAGGUUUUAUUUCCCUAGACAUGCCUUCAGUCUUUCAUGACUCUGUCAGAAGGCCUAUCCUCCUAAAAUCCAUUAGAGAAUACACAAGCAAACACUAGGCAGUGGUGGGCUGUGGAGAAGCUAGCUUGGAAACUGGUCUAGAUCUUUAGAAGGCUGAGAAUCCCUGUGCUGGAAAGCAGAGAUGCCUCUAUCAAGUGCCUUCCAAAACACUCAGUAAUUCCUACUAGAAUCCCUGCUAGACUCUCUUCUAGGAAUAGAAAUAUAUUAAUAGGUUAUAAACAGGGAUUUCCCUUAGAAUGAUAGUUUUUCCAAGAAACUUGUUAGAAGAUCACUAUUAAGAAAAAGAAAGGGAAUCUAAUAUUUCUGUUGAAAUGUGCCAAAAAACCAGUACUGAAGAGGCUGAGGUACCCUUUUUCAAACUGUAAAAGUCAAAAUCUACAUUUCUAAAACAAAGAAUAUCCUGAUAUUAAAUUGAAACUAAAAUGGCAGCACCCUUUGUUACUUUGAUAUUCCGUGUCCUUACUCUUAGGAAAAAAAAGGGUCUAACACUAGCCUUGAAUCCUGCUUAUCUCCUUACUGUUUAGUGCAGUAACUGUCAGAAUCUACUUAAAUAAAUAUAGCAGCUACAAUAUUGUAAGUGUAUGGUCCUCCAUGCCAGUAACCUGAUACUGUGAUAUAAUACAUGUAUCAGCACUUUAUGUAGACACAUUAACCAUCAAGAAUAUACAUUAAACUCCCAACUCUUCUUCAUAUGAAAAUCAAUUAUCUAGUUGCCAGACUGAUAUUUUACAGUCAGUCUCGUAAGAUACAUCACAGAAAAAAGAAGACCAAAAUCUAGCAUUCAUGAUAUAGUUAGUGAGCAAGGGCAGGAGCAGAAGGGUCACUGUGAAUUUCAUGUUUAACUUAAAAAAAAAAACUUUUUUAAAAUAAAAAAGAUUAGAAAUUCUACACCAGAAAUGCAACAAUAAAUAGGACAAAUUUCAAGAAGCAUUUGUCACUUAGCCUUUUAUCUUAAAAUUCUAAGCACAAGUUUUCUUGUAAUUAAGAACCAAUGGUAAUUAAUAUACCAAUUUGUUAGCAAAAUAGAAAUAUAGUAUACAUACUCUUUCAAGUUAAUCAACUUUAAACUAGCAAUGCUGACUAGUGUAAGAGCACUCUAAAAAAGAAAUCACUCAAAAGGUAAAGCUUUAUAAUUUAGAAAAAAUAUUUUUCCUCUUAAAAAAGUCCUUCCAAAUAGAUUUAAAUUAAGGGCUCCACUCUAGCAUAUAUGAGUGACUGAAAAUUAGGUGAGAGAGUACAUAGAGAAAGGGUAUCUACAGUCAUUCCCUAAAGUUUCCCACAUGAAUCUGUGCAGCUCCCAUGAUAAAGGAAGAUGUUUUACUCACACUGAUCAAGCAUAGACGAAUUAAAUUUUUAUCAUCUUGGGUAUACUAUUUUCUUCUCUUGCCCAUGAUCCUGACUAUAUUCAGUAAAAUUUCAGUGUAAAAAAAUCCAUCUUUAUAGGAAAUUUUUCUGGAGGAGAUGGGAGAAGGCUGGGAGAAAAAAUGUAUAUACGAUACAAAUAUUACCUUUUGUAAAGUUCUUUGCAACAGUGUUGUAAAUUGCAUUUCAGACACUUCAAAAUAAUAAACAUACAAAAUACAGUACUUUCUUAGUUUUCUGGCAGAGGGACAAAAGAUUUCAUGCCUGUCAGAGGACAUGGGCUCAGAUUUUAGGCUCAAAAUACAGUGAAUUGGCAAUAAUAGUGGAUUACAGGUAAGAGAGAAACUAAAGAUCUAAAUCCAUUAGGUUUCACGUGCAGAUGGAAUUCUGAAAGGCUAACAACAAUGCCCACUGGAAACAAUCUGUAGUAUCUAUACUCUGAACCAGUGCAAAAAAAAAAAAAAUCAAAAUGCAAUUUUCAUGAGUUACAAAGUGCAAAGCUCCCCUGAAUCCAAUGUUACUGAUAAACUCAGUUUUGAUAGCUUUAUAGUACUUUUUAAUACCUUAAAGUGUAAUCAAUAAAAGUUUUGUAAAACAAUUUCCCACGUUUCAGUGAUUUAACUGAUUUAAAAUGAUCAAAGUCCUAACUUCCUUUGUUACUAUCACCUUAAUUUUAAAAGGAAAGUUAUACUGGUGAUACAUUAGCAAAAGUUUUAAAAUAUCAUCUUGCAUUUUCCUGAUUCAUUUUAGUAAAUGAAAAUGGGCAUCUAGCCAAUAUGAUUCUUCAAUAAACACAAUCUAUUUGCAAAUAAUUUAAAUAUGUUAAGCUAUUCACAAUUAUAUAAAAGUUCAACUUUAUUUCUAAUAUUCAAGUUGGACUCAUUUAGGCAAUUUCACUUCAUUUUCAUUAUGAUUUUUUUUUCUUUUGAGACGGAGUUUUGGUUUUGUUGCCCAGGCUGGAGUGCAAUGGUGCAGUCUUGGCUCACUGUAACUUCCGCCUCCUAGGUUCAAGCAAUCCUGCCUCAGCCUCCCGAGUAGCUGGGAUUAGAGGUGCCCACUACCACGCCCAGCUAAUUUUUGUAUUUUUAGUAGAGACGGGGUUUCACCACGUUGGCCAGGCUGGUCUCAAACUCCUGAGCUCCGGUGAUAUACCUGUCUCAGCCUCCCAAAGUGCUAGGAUUACAGGCAUGAGCCACCGCGUCCAGCCUUUUAUCAUGAUGAAUUUUAAAAGAUAUGCUUUAAAACUGAAAAUUACAAAACUUUCCUUCUGAAAUUAAGGCUGUAUUCUUUGCCCUUUUAAACUAUGGAGGUGCCUGUUCCUCCUACUAUCCAUGGUAAAGAUGCAGACACAACUUUCCUUUAAAACUGCUUAUUGCACUAAAAGAUAGCAAAAACAAGUUGUCAGUUCUUAAAAUAAACAUGAUUAUAUUUCUAUAAAAGAUGCUGCCAAUACAAUUCUAUAAUUAUUAAAGCACUAUUCUAAUAAAUAUAAAAGAAAAGGAAGCUAUACUUCCAAACACAUACAUAUGUGUUUAUAUACACACACAUACAUAUAUAUAUAUAAAAAAUAUAUGAAAAUCACAUUAAGGUAUGAGAGGCAGCAAGUAAACUAUCAAAAAACAAAACAAAAAAAUCCCUCAACAAACUCUUCUCUCUACUCAAUUUCAGAGGUCUCAACCCUACAGAGCUCUAAUCUUUUAAAAUAUUUACCCUUUAUAAAACCUUUAAAGAAUUUCCAUGUAUAACCCAUAGAAACAGAAGGCUUCAGAAUACACAUCACUUACCAGAGAGAAAGUUACAACUUCUGACAGGUUUUAUAUUUAUAGCAGCUUUAACAAACUCACUAAAGAAAAAGAAUAGUAGGCCGGGUGCGGUGGCUCAUGCCUGUAAUCCCAGCACUUUGGGAGGUCGAGGCGGGUGGAUCACAAGGUCAAGAGAUCGAGAC
rnacentral:lncRNA from 1 species